rnacentral:rRNA from 1 species
CCCUUAGAUGUUCUGGGCCGCACGCGCGCUACACUGACGAAGUCAGCGAGCAUGUCCUACGCCGACAGGUGCGGGGAAUCUUGUCAAACUUCGUCGUGAUGGGGAUUGAUUAUUGAAAUUCUUGAUCAUCAACGAGGAAUUCCUAGUAAGCGCAAGUCAGCAGCUUGCGUUGAUUACGUCCCUGCCCUUUGUACACACCGCCCGUCGCUACUACCGAUUGAAUGGUUUAGUGAGAUCUUCGGAAUGGCGCCACUGCGGCUCAGCAAUGGGCUCGGUGGAUGCCGAAAAGUUGAUCAAACUUGAUCAUUUAGAGGAAGUAAAAGUCGUAACA